AAUUCCUUGCAGCAUCUCCUUUUUCCUUCCGCCAGUACAGAGAAAAGUAAGAGAGAGAGCCUCUCAAACAGCUAUGGAGAGAAAAGGAUAUGAUACACAGAUGAAAAGGCGAAUCACAGUGGCUACCCAGAAAGAAAACACAAGUCGCAAUCAGGCACAAAAAAGAAACAUGUAAACAUGCAUGAAAUUACCCAAGAUCUACCUGUAAACAGCUUGGUAAGUCAAUCUCAUGGUAUACUUUUCAGUCUGCUGGCGACCUUAUUAAUAAAAAGCAAGUUUUAUUCCAAGUGAAACAUAUUUAUGGAUUCUCUAGUCCAAAGUCUGCAAAGUUUAGAUGUGCAGAAAAGUCACCAUGUCACCAAGAAUGGUACCAUUUCAUUCAAUAAAGAGAAUAUUAUUUUCAGCACUUCCUUAUUCCCCUAGGGCAUUGAAGAGAAUGAGUCAAUCUGUCCCUCUUUGUUUAUGCAUACUGGAAACCUGACAUGGGAAAAGACAUACAGGGAUUGCCCCCAAAGUCUGCCACUACCCCUUCCUUGUUCAUAGUUGCUGUGGGAUGAUUCAAAUGCCUUUUUCCAGUUUUGGCUGGUAUCAUAAUAGCUGCUUGCACUGGGAUAGCUUGGCCACAGUUGUUGAGGCAAUGAUACUCCAGUACUGUAAUUCCCUUUUAGAUGUCUCAUCCCCAGCAAAUUGAAAGGUGCUUAGCACAACGUUUCCUGGAUCUACCGUAUUUUUUGCCCAUAGGGCGCACCGCCUCAUAGGAUGCACCUAGUUUUUUGGGGGGGAAUAAAGAAAAAAAAAUAUUUUCCCCCCCAGGCACGGGCUGCCACGGGGGAAGCCCGAGCUUCCCCCGACCCAGCCCCCAGAACAGCCUGCUAUCCGCAAGCCUAGGAAUCCUGGCAGGAAGUCGUGCCGGUCUCCCCAGGCUUGCGGAGAGCUGCACGAAGCCCGGGACUGCAGGCAGCUCUGCACAACCCUUGGGAGACCUGCGUGAAGUCGCGCCGGUCUCCCAAGGGUUGCGCAGAGCUUCCUGAAGCCUGGAGAGCGAGAGGGGUUGGUGCACACCGACCCCUCUCGCUCUCCAGGCUUCAGCGAAAGCCUGCAUUCACCCCAUAGGACGCACACACAGUUCCCCUUCAUUUUUGGAGGGGGAAAAGUGCGCCCUAUAGGGAGAAAAAUACGGUAUUUGUCUGAAAUCUGGAAGGUUUCUUACCAAGCAGCGCCUCUCUCAUGUAGGCUAUUUUCUAACCGUUUUCAAAAAAAUACUAUCCUUCUGAAAUUUGGCAGAAAUAGUGGCUUCAGGGUCACCUUGCUCAGAAUAAGAUCCACUUCUGCCUAAAAAUAAACAGACACUUCAUUAAAAGCAAGCAAGCAAGCAAACUAACUAUCCAACACAAAAACUAACACAAAGCUGCCCAUCACAAAAGAUCCUGACUUAUUUUCUUGUAAUUCGGGAGAUAUAUAUUUUUCUGGAGGGGCUAGUAUGCCUGCAAAUUUCAUCCACUUCUGUCAACAGGGAGAGAGAAGUCAAUGGUGACUCCAAGACUGUAUUACUCUAAUGUAUACUAUGCGAGGUUUUCCUUGUGUCUGGUACAAAAACUACAGUUAGGACAGUAUGCUGCAGCAGCAUUGUUAACAACAGUGAUAUUAUGUGGGCACAUUGCACCUUUGCUCAAAUAAGUGUACCAGCUGCCAAGUUUAAGGAGUUACUGUUAACAUAUAAAGCCCUAAAUAGAUUGGGGUCAUUUUAUCUGAAGACUUGCUUGGCCCCACACAUUCAUACUCUAUAGCUCCAACCUGUGGCAGUUUGUAGUUGUACCAGUGCCAUGUAAACUUUGUUCUUAAUCAGGGAGGAAAUAUUCAGGGUAGCACCAAUAUUUAUAACUCCUUGCCUUUGAACAUCAAAUAGAAUCUCUCGUUGGACUGUUUAAAAUGUUUCCUAAAACAUUAUUUCUGUUGAAAAGUUAACCCACACGUGGAAUAAUUUUAUUACGUCUACUAGUUUUUAAUUUUUGUUGUGUUAUCUGGGGGGUUUUUCCAGGAGGGAAUACAAUAUUCUAUAUCAAACACUUAGAGAUUUUACAUUUUUAACAGACUAUAUAUUUUGUUAACUGAAGAAACAAAAAUUAUUUAUUAAACAAGCAAUGGUUUAUUGGUGACCUAAGUCAAUCUACUUGAUCACAUUGGGGAACAUGCGUCAAAACAUUCUCCUCCUCCUCCUCCUCCUCCUCUCUAAAAUGGUUGUGCCAUCUCUUUGCAGGUACUACAUAGCCACACAAUGUUCAACCAGUCAUCUAGAGUGGUGGAAUUCCUUCUGCAUGGAUUCUCUGAUACUCAGGAACUGAAGACAUUUCAUUUCAUUACAUUCUUGAUCCUUUAUCUGAUUGCUGUCACUGAAAACCUCAUCAACAUCACAGUCAUAAUUUUCAGUCCUCAGCUUCACAAACCCAUGUACUUCUUUCUAGCCAAUCUGGCAUUCCAAGACCUUCUGUGAUGAACAGAAAAUCAUGUGUCAAAAUGGCAAUCAGUGCAUGGAUUACUGGGCUUAUCUAUUCUGGCAGUACAUUCACAACUGAGUUCUGUUUUAAUGACAUCAGUCAGUUUUUCUGUGAAAUUCCAUAGUUAUUCAAAAUUGCUUGCUCUGACUCAUAUCUCAUCGUAUUUGGAUUAUUUGUGUUGGUGACUCUCUGGCCUUUAUCUACCUUGCUGUAAUAGUUUAUUCAUACGUUAAAAUCUUCAGUGCAGUUCUAAAAAUUCCUUCUGCCCAGGGAAAAGAAAAAGCCUUCUCAACUUGCUUGCCACAUCUUAUUGUAAUAACUUUAUAUUUUGUUAGCAGUUCAUUUGUUUAUAUGAAGCAAAGCUCUGUGUCACUAUCAUCAAGUGACACAGAGCUUUUGGAUCUUGUUGCUUCUAUGUUCUAUUGCAUGUUUUCACCAGUUGUGAACCCAUUAAUCUAUAGCAGUAGGAAUAAGGAAUUGAAAACAGCAUUUUGGAAGUUGAAUGCAAAUCUCUUCUACCAAUUCUUCCCCAAUUUCUAAUGGCCAAAACAUGGAUUACCUUUAUAUUUCCAUCAAAAAAACUAAAAAUUAUUUUUAAACAUUUAUUAUACAUAAAUCACUAUUUGCAUGCCAAAUGUAAUCCUUUGAAGAACACACUUCCUAACUAACAACAAUUUCUAUAUUUGUUUUCCUGUACUCUAUAUUAAAGAGUGGAAACAUUUUUGUCAAUUUGCUUAUUUUGUACUUACUUUCUCACACUGUUUUCUGUUUGUUCUGCUGCAGUGUGUCAGAUCCAUGGUAAGUCAGAACUAUAUUUUUCAGCUUGAUUAUAUGCAUGCCUUUGCAGAUGUGGGUCCAUAUUGGCCUAAUAAAGCAGAUUUUCACCAGCAAGAUCUGUGCAUCUUUGAGUGGGUGUAGUUGUCUUUAGACUCAUGUGAGUUGAAAGAGAUAGACCCAUGAAAAGUGGUUUUUCUGGAUUCACAAAGUUGCAAAGAUUCUGGCAAAGGAGCUACAAACUACCCACCAAGUCCAAUUUUUGCUGUAGAAUUGGUAAACCAUACCAGAAAAGGGAAUAUCUUUUUUAACCAGGAAAGGCAAGAAGGAAUCUCCUUUUUUAAACUGAGGACACAUUCCAUCAAAUUCUAUACUUGAUCAUCGCCUGCACCUCUUACUAAAUCCACUCAUUGCUGUCGACUUUGUUAUCAAUCUUUGCUAUCCUUCCUUUAUGAAUUGUAAAAUACGUGGCUAAAUAAAGUGUUCAACCAGGAAA
rnacentral:lncRNA from 1 species